UACGUAGGCAGCGAGCGUUGUUCGGAAUUACUGGGCGUAAAGAGUGUGUAGGCGGUGCUCUAAGUUCGGUGUGAAAUCUCCCGCUUAACUGGGAGGGUGCGCCGGAAACUGGAGUGCUCGAGCGUGGGAGAGGAAAGCGGAAUUCCUGGUGUAGCGGUGAAAUGCGUAGAUAUCAGGAGGAACACCGAUGGCGAAGGCAGGUCUCUGGGCCACAACUGACGCUGAGGAGCGAAAGCAUGGGGAGCGAACAGG
rnacentral:rRNA from 1 species